GGGGUCGUAGCUCAGCUGGGAGAGCGCUUGAAUGGCAUUCAAGAGGUCAGGGGUUCGAUCCCCCUCGGCUCCACCA
rnacentral:tRNA from 1 species